UUGGCAUGAUGUUAUGUUGGGUGAUAUUGU
rnacentral:piRNA from 1 species